rnacentral:rRNA from 1 species
GAUGAACGCUGGCGGCGUGCCUAAUACAUGCCAGUCGAGCGAACAGACGAGGAGCUUGCUCCUCUGACGUUAGCGGCGGACGGGUGAGUAACACGUGGAUAACCUACCUAUAAGACUGGGAUAACUUCGGGAAACCGGAGCUAAUACCGGAUAAUAUAUUGAACCGCAUGGUUCAAUAGUGAAAGACGGUUUUGCUGUCACUUAUAGAUGGAUCCGCGCCGCAUUAGCUAGUUGGUAAGGUAACGGCUUACCAAGGCAACGAUGCGUAGCCGACCUGAGAGGGUGAUCGGCCACACUGGAACUGAGACACGGUCCAGACUCCUACGGGAGGCAGCAGUAGGGAAUCUUCCGCAAUGGGCGAGAGCUUGACGGAGCAACGCCGCGUGAGUGAUGAAGGUCUUCGGAUCGUAAAACUCUGUUAUUAGGGAAGAACAAAUGUGUAAGUAACUAUGCACGUCUUGACGGUACCUAAUCAGAAAGCCACGGCUAACUACGUG